AGGGGCGCCCGGGGUGGGAAGGGAGCCAGCCUUUGGCUGCCAAGGGGUGCGGAUCCCCGAGGAUCUCGACCUGGCCCGCUGGGAUGGGUUCUGUCUCCUCCGUGCUGGCGCGGUCCCGCAACACCGUCGUGCAGCCGGGAUCGUCGCCGCCUCAGCAAGAAGUGCCGCUCGCUGCUCCCGCGUCUCUCAAAGACUCUAGAACCCAGCGUCGGGUACUCGGGCAUCAAGGCUCUUUCAGACCUUCCCCAGCCUGGGAACCGCCGCCGGCCAAGCACAGCCAGCAGGAGCUUCCAAAGUUGGAGAGCGCGGAGCUGUCCCCCGUGCUGAGGCGUUUGCCAGCUAUGUCCCAGUCCUCCCCCAGCGACAGCCCAGGAGAGACUGGCACUGGGAAGACAGAAGAGUUGAACACCCAGACAGACACCACAGAAAAACAGCCAGCUGCAG
ensembl:lincRNA Gm8239 predicted gene 8239